AUUGAACGCUGGCGGCAUGCCUUACACAUGCAAGUCGAACGGCAGCACGGGAGCAAUCCUGGUGGGGAGUGGCGAACGGGUGAGUAAUAUAUCGGAACGUGCCCAGUCGUGGGGGAUAACGCAGCGAAAGCUGUGCUAAUACCGCAUACGAUCUAAGGAUGAAAGCGGGGGAUCGCCAGACCUCGCGCGAUUGGAGCGGCCGAUAUCAGAUUAGCUAGUUGGUGGGGUAAAGGCCCACCAAGGCGACGAUCUGUAGCUGGUCUGAGAGGACGACCAGCCACACUGGAACUGAGACACGGUCCAGACUCCUACGGGAGGCAGCAGUGGGGAAUUUUGGACAGUGGGCGCAAGCCUGAUCCAGCAAUGCCGCGUGCAGGAUGAAGGCCUUCGGGUUGUAAACUGCUUUUGUACGGAACGAAAAGGCUCUCUCUAAUACAGGGGGCUCAUGACGGUACCGUAAGAAUAAGCACCGGCUAACUACGUGCCAGCCGCCGCCGUAAGAC
rnacentral:rRNA from 1 species